UGAAAAAAGUCAAAUUUUGACACACCAGCGAGAAACUUGUAAAAAUUAAAUUGAAAAGUUCCGCAAAAAUAUUUCCAAUAACUAUUCAAAAUGCCCUUAUUACGUUUAGUCGGAAGGAAACCAGUGGAAAUUCUUAGCUUGUGGGCGGGUAGCGCAACGGUUUAUGGAACUUCGGCUGCUGCCCUUUUAGUUUAUCUUACCGACUGGAAAGUCGUUGCAGAAUAUUUGCCAUAUUACAAUGGAAAAUUCGCCUCCAAAGAAUGAUAAACUUUCCUGACACUUUUGGAUUAGGCAAAUGUAGUUUCUAAGUGUGAUAAUAAAAUGUCGUUACCUGCCCCCUUA
rnacentral:lncRNA from 1 species